rnacentral:rRNA from 1 species
UACGUAGGGUGCAAGCGUUGUCCGGAAUUAUUGGGCGUAAAGAGCUCGUAGGCGGUCUGUCGCGUCGGCUGUGAAAACUCGGGGGCUCAACCCCGAGCCUGCAGUCGAUACGGGCAGACUAGAGUGCGGUAGGGGAGACUGGAAUCCCUGGUGUAGCGGUGAAAUGCGCAGAUAUCAGGAGGAACACCGGUGGCGAAGGCGGGUCUCUGGGCCGUAACUGACGCUGAGGAGCGAAAGCGUGGGGAGCAAACAGG